UAGGGAAUCUUCGGCAAUGGGGGCAACCCUGACCGAGCAACGCCGCGUGAGUGAAGAAGGUUUUCGGAUCGUAAAGCUCUGUUGUAAGAGAAGAACGUGUGUGAGAGUGGAAAGUUCACACAGUGACGGUAACUUACCAGAAAGGGGCGGCUAACUACGAGCCAG
rnacentral:rRNA from 1 species